UGGGGAAUAUUGGGCAAUGGAGGCAACUCUGACCCAGCAACGCCGCGUGAGCGAUGAAGGUCUUCGGAUUGUAAAGCUCUUUAAGCGGGGACGAAGAAAGUGACUGUACCCGCAGAAUAAGCCUCGGCUAACUACGUGCCAGCAGCCGCGGUAAUACGUAGGAGGCAAGCGUUAUCCGGAAUGACUGGGCGUAAAGGGUGCGUAGGUGGUUUGACAAGUUGGUAGCGUAACUCCGGGGCUCAACCUCGGAUCUACUACCAAAACUGUUGGGCUUGAGUGCAGGAAGGGUAAAUGGAAUUCCUAGUGUAGCGGUGGAAUGCGUAGAUAUUAGGAAGAACACCAGCGGCGAAGGCGAUUUACUGGACUGUAACUGACACUGAGGCACGAAAGCGUGGGGAGCAAACAGG
rnacentral:rRNA from 1 species